CGACCGGCGCACGGGUGAGCAACACGUAUGCAACCUGGCCGCCACAGGGGGAUAACCCGCGGAAACGCGGCCUAAUACCCCGUGACGCCACCGGAGGGCAUCCUCCGGUGGCCAAAGGAGCGAUCCGGUGGCGGAUGGGCAUGCGGCGCAUUAGCUAGACGGCGGGGUGACGGCCCACCGUGGCGACGAUGCGUAGGGGUUCUGAGAGGAAGGUCCCCCACACUGGUACUGAGACACGGACCAGACUCCUACGGAAGGCAGCAG
rnacentral:rRNA from 1 species